UCUCUCGUAGCUUAGUGGUCAGAGCAUUGGCGUGUAAAGCCAAAGAGCCCGGGUUCGAUUCCCGGCGGGGGUA
rfam:Agrilus planipennis Contig37891, whole genome shotgun sequence.